rnacentral:lncRNA from 1 species
ACCACUGAGGAGCGUUAAUUAUUCCAAUCUUUGUGAAUACCUCUGGUAAUAGCAUUCCUGCUACACCUAACAUUGCCCAUCUUCCGUUCACAAGCUCUGCCUGGACAAACCAUCUCAGGUUCUCUGGGUCCUCUGCUAGUCCAAGAGGGUCAAACCCAUUAUCCCCUGGAAGACUGGACAAGGUCACAAGGUUUCAGUUAAUGAAAAUGCCUCCGAUGAUAAAAUAUAUAGAAGUUGUGUUUAUGCUUGAUUACCUGCCGUUGAGGUAGGCUGGAGAGGGCAAACCAGGCAGCCACUCGCCUUUCUUGGCCUCGACUUUAAAAGAAGAUGAUGUCGUUGGUUUAAACGACACUUCUCUGUUGAGUUUAUUAGGAGACCCACUCAAAAACCUCGAUCUGGAUGCACAUGGCCGGAACACGGCGGCAGA